ACAAUGUUGUAUCACUCAUAUUUUCGAAAUUAUGUACUAUUUUUUUUGUUUCAGACUUCGAGUUUGCACUUUCGAGGACUUUGAAAAUCUAUCUCGAAGAGUGGACUUCGAAAUUUUCGCGGAUACCAUUCGUGGAAGAAUAAGGAAGAGUUAAUUCGUCUAUACAACAGUUUAUUUGAUUUUAGACUAAAUUUGCGAGGUGGGGAGACGGGCUCCAGAGACGACAACAAUAUCGGUCCUCUGACCGACUUCUACAGUCACUAGUUCAGUUGUGUUUUGGACUCCGACGAGGGAACUUAGAAAUUUUCGCGGAUACCACUCGUGCAAGUAUUAAGGAACAGUUAAUUCGUAUAUACAACAGUUUAUUUGAUUUUAGAUUGAAUUUGCGAAGUGGGGAUACUCGGCUUCGCAAAACAACAACAAUAUCGGUUCUCUGACCGACUUCUACAGUCACCAGUUCAGUUGUGUUUUGGACUCCGACGAGGGAACUUAGAAAUUUUCGCGGAUACCAUUCCUCCUAGUAUUAACGAGAAGUUUACGCAAGUACAAUGUUGUAUCACUCAUAUUUUCGAAAUUAUGUACUAUUUUUUUUGUUUCAGACUUCGAGUUUGCACUUUCGAGGACUUUGAAAAUCUAUCUCGAAGAGUGGACUUCGAAAUUUUCGCGGAUACCAUUCGUGGAAGUAUUAAGCAACGUCUAUACAACAGUUUAUUUGAUUUUAGACUAAAUUUGCGAGGUGGGGAGACGGGCUCGAGAAACGACAACAAUAUCGGACCUCUGACCGACUUCUACAGUCACUAGCUCAGUUGUGUUUUGGACUCCGACGAGGGAACUUAGAAAUUUUCGCGGAUACCAUUCCUUCUAGUAUUAACGAGAAGUUUACACUUCGAGUUCGCACUGUCGGGUACUUCGAAAAUCUAUCUCGAAGACGGGACUUAUAAAUUUUCGCACUCUUGUGGGACUUUGACAGUCUAUCUCCUGAAAUGGACUUAGAAGUUUUCGCACUCUCAUGGGACUUUGAAAAUCUAUCUCCAAGAGUGGACUUAGAAAUUUUCCCACCUUUGAGGGUCUUUGACAAUCUGUUUCCACGAGUGAACUUAGAAAUUUUAGCAGAAAGCCAUUUGAGGAAGUAUUAAUGAAGUAUCGACACUUCGAUUCUGCAUUCUCGUGGAACUUUGAAAAUCUAUCUCCCCCAGUGGACUUAGAAAUUUUCGCCCUCUCGUGGGACUUUGACAGUCUAUCUCCAGAUGUGGACUUAGAAAUUUUCCCACCUUUGAGGGUCUUUGACAAUCUGUUUCCACGAGUGAACUUAGAAAUUUUAGCAGAAAGCCAUUUGAGGAAGUAUUAAUGAAGUAUCGACACUUCGAUUCUGCAUUCUCGUGGAACUUUGAAAAUCUAUCUCCCCCAGUGGACUUAGAAAUUUUCGCCCUCUCGUGGGACUUUGACAGUCUAUCUCCAGAUGUGGACUUAGAAAUUUUCGCACUUUCGGGGGACUUUGAAAAUUUAUCUCCAAGAGUGGACUUAGAAAUUUUCCCACCUUUGAGGGUCUUUGACAAUCUGUUUCCACGAGUGGACUUAGAAAUUGUUGCUGGAUGCCACUUGUGCGAGUAUUAACGAAGACUGAAACCUAGUUGCAAUCGCGUGCGUAGCAAUGAAGAAAUCGAGGCUUUGUAUCGCUAAAAUAAAAAUAGAAGCAGUGCUUGUUCGUUCGCGUUUCGCGAUUUAAACCAUAAGUGUCUUUGCAUAGACUGCGUGCAAUGCAGUCUUUAGAGUCAGUGUUUGUUCGCGGAGUUUCUUGAUUUUUUGACAGUCGCACAGACUGUACUUAUAAAAUAUAGUAGAGUUUCGUUAAGUAAAUUCAGUGACCGUUCGUUAAUAAAUAACUACCGCGAAUUAGAGUCAGUGCAUCACUGAAGUGGAUCUCAACCAACUUCGAUGUCGACCUACCUCAUUUUCAACCAACUACAAAUCAUCCACCCUCAAUUUCGACCUAAGUCGCGGUCCAGUGUUUUGGAGCCGUCGCAGAACUUCUUAAGUAAUUAGAUCGUCAUUUCGAGGAGUGGACUUAGAAAUUUUUGCAAGACUUAGAUUCUGCACUUUCAGGGGACUUUAAAAAUCUAUCUCCAUGAGUGGACUUAGAAAUUUUCACACCCUUGAGGGACUUUGACAAUCUAUCUCCACGAGUGGACUUAGAAAUUUUCACAGGAUGACAUUCGAGCGAGUAUUAACGAAGAUUUAAAAACCUCAUUGCGGUCGCGCGCGUUGCAAUGUUGUAAUCGAGUGUUAGUAUCGCUAAACAAAAUUUAUCGCGAAGUAGAAGCAGUGUUUGUUCGUUCGCGUUUCGCGAUUUAAACCAUAAGUGUCUUUGCAUAGACUGCGUGCAAUGCAGUCCUUAGAGUCAGUGUUUGUUCGCGGAGUUUCUUGAUUUUUUAACAGUCGCACAGACUGUACUUAUAAAAUAUAGUAGAGUUUCGUUAAGUAAAUUCAGUGACCGUUCGUUAAUAAAUAACUACCGCGAAUUAGAGUCAGUGCAUCACUGAAGUGGAUCUCAACCAACUUCGAUGUCGACCUACCUCAUUUUCAACCAACUACAAAUCAUCCACCCUCAAUUUCGACCUAAGUCGCGGUCCAGUGUUUUGGAGCCGUCGCAGAACUUCUUAAGUAUUGUUGGUUGGGCUUGAAGCAAAGAAAAGACUAUAUCUUGAAGAAAUUCCCACAAACUGUGGCUCAAGAGGGCAGCUAUUGGAUUGUUGUUUUAUUUUCGAAGAAACCUGGACGACGUAACGCUCCGUCUUCCACCCCACAUUGAUACUCGUACGCGAAUAAAAUUAUUACAUAUGUUAUUCAUUUUUACUAUUAACGUAGAGUUGUAAAUUUUUAUUUUCUUUUUAUUCUCUUUUCUAAAGUCUUCUAUCUAAAGUACACUGAAUAAAAGUGCAUAUGGACUCUCGCGCACUCGCAUGCAUCUUUUCUUCCUUUCCUCCUUUUCUCUCCUCUUCUCUUUGUUCCUUCUUCUUAUUCUCAUC